GACGAACGCUGGCGGCGUGCUUAACACAUGCAAGUCGAACGAAGUGGCGAACGGGUGAGUAACGCGUAAUCAACCUGCCCUUCAGAGGGGGACAACAGUUGGAAACGACUGCUAAUACCGCAUACUGAAGGAGGGGAUUGCGUCUGAUUAGCUCGUUGGAGGGGUAACGGCCCACCAAGGCGAUGAUCAGUAGCCUGGCUGGGAGGGUGGACGGCCACAAUGGGAACGGGACAAGGCCCAGACUCCUACCGGAGGGAGCAGUGGGGAAUCUUCCGAAAUGGACGAAAGGCUGACGGAGCAACGCCGCGGGGGUGAUGACGGCCUUCGGGGUGUAAAGGUCUGUUAAUCGGGACGCGGUACCGGAAUAGAAAGCCACGGCUAACUACGUGCCAGCAGCCGCGGUAAUUC
rnacentral:rRNA from 1 species